rnacentral:rRNA from 1 species
UACGUAGAGUGCAAGCGUUGUCCGGAAUUAUUGGGCGUAAAGGGUACGCAGGCGGAUAAUCAAGUCAAGCGUGAAAGGUGUCGGUUUAACCGACAGACUGCGUUUGAAACUGAUUAUCUUGAGUGUAACAGAGGAGAGUGGAAUUCCUAGUGUAGUGGUGAAAUACGUAGAUAUUAGGAAGAACACCAGUGGCGAAGGCGACUCUCUGGGUUAACACUGACGCUGAGGUACGAAAGCUGGGGGAGCGAACGGG